rnacentral:rRNA from 1 species
GGUAUAUGCUUGUCUCAAAGACUAAGCCAUGCAAGUCUAAGUAUAAGUUAUUCUGAAGACGAAACUGCGAAUGGCUCGGUAAAACAGCAAUAAUUUCUUCGGUGAUGAGUUUACUCACGGAUAACCGUAGUAAUUCUAGAGCUAAUACGUGCUGAGAAAAGGUGGGGCUUGCUCCACCGUGCCGUUUAGAUAACAACACCAACAUUUGGUGAUUCAUAAUCGUCUUUCUGAUCGCCUUGUGCGACGCACCGUUCAAAUUUCUGACCUAUCAACUUUCGAUGGUAAGGUAGUGUCUUACCAUGGUGGCAACGGGUAACGGACCGUGGGUGCGGGACUCCGGAGAGGGAGCCUGAGAAACGGCUACCACAUCCAAGGAAGGCAGCAGGCGCGCAACUUGCCCAAUCCAGACUCUGGGAGGCAGUGACAAGAAAUAUCAAUAGGGGAUCCUAUGGGUCUUCUAAUUGGAAUGAGAACAAGCUAAACAGCUUAUCGAGAAUCCAGCAGAGGGCAAGUCUGGUGCCAGCAGCCGCGGUAAUUCCAGCUCUGUAAGCGUAUACCAAAGUUGUUGCAGUUAAAACACUCGUAGUCGGAACUUGGCCGUUCCGGAUGUGUGCACGUCGUGUGCGCACUUUGCGGGGACGGCUUUUGUGGUCUUGCGUAGGAUGAGGCACUUUUAUUAGUGAACGUCCUUACGCAACCACUCUUUACUGUGAGAAAAUCAGAGUGCUCAAAGCAGCAUUUGCCGUGAAUGUAUUAGCAUGGAAUAAUAGAUAGGACUCGGUUCUAUUUUGUGGUUUGUUGGGACUGAGUAAUGAUUAAGAAGGACAGUUGGGGG